UAAGAUGUGCCUUUCACUUUCUGCCGUGAUUGUGGGGCCUCCCAGCCAUGUGGAACCUGAGCACCUGUUUAUGCACUGCAGUCGCGAAUGAGACAGAAUCAUGUGAGGAGUGCACAGUCUGCCUUAUGGCCCAUGCUCAGCACAUAUCCUGAUGAGGAAUUGGUCCCCGGCUGUCAUUGUCUCCGUGCACUUGAGUUGGACAAUGCUCCGUCCCAAGGUUCUUUCAUUUCUGACUAUGCCACUCUCAGCCCAUCAAACCUCAAAUCUAACCUAAUCCUGGUGGCCCUCCCACCUUCCCAGCACACAGGAGCAAGCAGAGAAAAUGGGCAGUCAAGUCAAAAGGAAAGGACGGCCUACAGGUGCUGUUCUGUGAGUACAGUGUCCGAACCAGAAAGUCAAGAUGCCUCUUUGAGGAUCGGUCUGAAAUACGUGAAAUCCAGGAGAAGUGGAAUAGAAAACGCCGUGAAGGUAACGCGGAGAGCACCAGGGAGCAGCUGCUAUUUCAACGCAGUGGGGACUUCACACCUGGGCCUGAAGGAGCCUCACUGUUUCACUGAAUUUAUGUUCAUAUAUUUAUGAUAAUAAAUAUGUUCAUACACUUUUGUUCAAAA